rnacentral:rRNA from 1 species
AACGAACGCUGGCGGCAUGCCUAACACAUGCAAGUCGAACGAGACCUUCGGGUCUAGUGGCGCACGGGUGCGUAACGCGUGGGAACCUGCCUUUAGGUUCGGAAUAACUCAGAGAAAUUUGAGCUAAUACCGGAUAAUGUCUUCGGACCAAAGAUUUAUCGCCUUUAGAUGGGCCCGCGUUGGAUUAGCUAGUUGGUGGGGUAAAGGCCUACCAAGGCGACGAUCCAUAGCUGGUCUGAGAGGAUGAUCAGCCACACUGGGACUGAGACACGGCCCAGACUCCUACGGGAGGCAGCAGUGGGGAAUAUUGGACAAUGGGCGAAAGCCUGAUCCAGC